UACGAAGGGGGCUAGCGUUGCUCGGAAUCACUGGGCGUAAAGGGUGCGUAGGCGGGUCUUUAAGUCAGGGGUGAAAUCCUGGAGCUCAACUCCAGAACUGCCUUUGAUACUGAAGAUCUUGAGUUCGGGAGAGGUGAGUGGAACUGCGAGUGUAGAGGUGAAAUUCGUAGAUAUUCGCAAAAACACCAGUGGCGAAGGCGGCUCACUGGCCCGAUACUGACGCUGAGGCACGAAAGCGUGGGGAGCAAACAGG
rnacentral:rRNA from 1 species